GAGCCAAAGCAGAGAGUGUGAAUAAGCAGCUGCGGCAGCAGCUCUCAGAUUACAGAGUGCCUCCAGUGGUGAAGUAUGUCAAUCAGAAGAUGGCCAUCUAUGACCUGGAAAACAAUAUUAAGAUCUGGGAGAGGAAGGUGGAGAUCGCCGAGAUGUCCUUGCAGAGCUACCGCAGAGCUUGGAACAAGGUCAAGAUGGUCAGUAACCAGCUACAGCUUUGUCUCCCCCUGCAAGGUGGCCAGUGAGAGAUCUGGCUUGGAGCCAGCCACGUGAAAAAUGAAGCUAUCGACUGGGGGAAUGCAGAACACUUUCUACUGCAGCUUGAUCUGUGACAAGAGAUGGAACCAUUUCAGCCCAAUUGAUAAAGAAAUCAAAAGCG